rnacentral:rRNA from 1 species
UCAAGCGAUUAAGAGCUUACGACGGAUACCUUGGUGUUCAGAAGCGAUGAAGGGCGUGGCUACCAACGAAAUGUUUCGGGGAACUGGAAGCAAGUUUUGAUCCGAAAAUACCCGAAUAAGGAAACUUCGAGAACUACUUCUUGAAUUAAAUAGAGAAGAAAGAGCAAACCUAGUGAAUUGAAACAUCUUAGUAACUAGAGGAAAAGAAAGCAAAAGCGAUUCUCUUAGUAGCGGCGAGCGAAACGGGACCAGUCUAAACUUUAUAUAACUAUAAAGGGUUGUGGGACAGCUUAUUGUAAAGUGUGAUUGUUAGAUGAAGCAGAAUGAAUGCUGCGCCAUAGUAGGUGAAAGUCCUGUAGUCGAAAACUUAUACAUUUUAAAGCUUCAUCCCAAGUAGGGAGGGACACGUGAAACCCCUUUUGAAUUUGCGAGGACCACCUCGUAAGACUAAAUAUUCCUGAAUAACCGAUAGUGAACCAGUACCGUGAGGGAAAGGUGAAAAGAACCCCGGGAGGGGAGUGAAAUAGAACAUGAAAUCGUAAGUUUACAAGCAGUAGAAGAGCGACUUAACGCUCGACUUCGUGCCUGUUGAAGAAUGAGCUGGCGACUUGUAGGUUGUGGCAAGAUUAAGAUAAGAAAAUAUCGAAGUCAUAGUGAAAGCGAGCCUGAAUAGGGCUUUAAGUCACAAUUUACAGACCCGAACCCGGAUGAUCUAACCAUGGCCAGUGUGAAGCUUAGGUAACACUAAGUGGAGGUACCAACCGACUGUUGUUGAAAAAACAGCGGAUGAGUUGUGGUUAGGGGUGAAAUUCCAAUCGAAUCCGGAGCUAGCUGGAUCUCCCCGAAAUGCGUUGAGGCGCAGCGGUUAAUGUUUUUUCUUAGGGGUAAAGCUACUGUUUUGGUGCGGGCUGCGAGAGUGGUACCAAAUCAAGGCAAACUCUGAAUACUAAGACAUUUAGUUAACCAGUGAGACGUUGGGGGAUAAGCUUCAAUGUCAAGAGGGAAACAGCCCAGAUUACUAGUUAAGGCCCCUAAAUAAUUGCUAAGUGGUAAAGGAGGUGGGAUUGCAUAGACAAUCAGGAGGUUUGCCCAGAAGCAGCAAUCCUUUAAAGAGUGCGUAAUAGCUCACUGUUCGAGUGAUCCUGCGCCGAAAAUGACUGGGACUAAGCAAUUUGCCGAAACUGUAAGAUGUUUAAACAUCGGUAGGGGAGCGUUCUACAUUAGUGAGAAGAAUUAACGAAAGUGGGUUUGGACAAAGUAGAAGUGAGAAUGUCAGCUUGAGUAGCGAAAACAUUGGUGAGAAUCCAAUGCCCCGAAAACCUAAGGGUUCCUCCGGAAGGCUCGUCCGCGGAGGGUGAGUCAGGUCCUAAGGUAAGGCUGAAAAGCGUAGUCGAUGGAUAACAGGUUAAUAUUCCUGUACUGUUUAUUGUUGGUAAAGGGGGACGGAGAAGGCUAGGUCGACCGAAUGUUGGUUAUCGGCUUAAGUAUUCGAGGUGUUGAGAAGCGGUGAAAACGUUUUGAGCUGAGAUAUGAAUAGGAGGUGCUAAGGCACUGAACCGACUGAUGUCAUACUUCCAAGAAAAGCCCUAACUACCAUAAGCAAUAAAUACCUGUACCCUAAACCGACACAGGUGGGUAAGUAGAGUAUACUAAGGGGCGCGAGAUAACUCUCUCUAAGGAACUCGGCAAAAUAGCCUCGUAACUUCGGGAGAAGAGGUACCCUUUAUGGGUUGCAAGAACCAGACGCUGGCGACUGUUUAUCAAAAACACAGGUCUCCGCAAAGUCGUAAGACGAUAUAUGGGGGCUGACACCUGCCCAGUGCCGGAAGGUUAAGGGAGCUUGUUAGUCUUUGACGAAGCUCGUGACCGAAGCCCCGGUGAACGGCGGCCGUAACUAUAACGGUCCUAAGGUAGCGAAAUUCCUUGUCGGGUAAGUUCCGACCCGCACGAAAGGUGUAACGAUCUGCGUACUGUCUCGGAGAGAGACUCGGCGAAAUAGACUUGUCUGUGAAGAUGCGGACUACCUGCACCUGGACAAAAAGACCCUAUGAAGCUUUACUGUAGCUUGAUAUUGGCUCCGGGCUUUGUUUGCGCAGGAUAGGUGGGAGGCGUUGACAAUUUUCUUGCGGGAAGAUUUGAGCCGUUGGUGAGAUACCACUCUAACAAUGCUAGGAUUCUAACCCUAUGUCGUUAUCCGGCUAGGGGACAGUUUCAGGUGGUCAGUUUGACUGGGGCGGUCGCCUCCUAAAAGGUAACGGAGGCGUGCAAAGGUUCCCUCAGGCUGGUUGGAAAUCAGUCGUAGAGUGUAAAGGCAUAAGGGAGCUUGAUUGUGAGACAUACAAGUCGAACAAAGACGAAAGUCGGCCUUAGUGAUCCGGCGGUACCGAGUGGAAGGGCCGUCGCUCAACGGAUAAAAGUUACUCUAGGGAUAACAGGCUGAUCUCCCCCAAGAGUUCAUAUCGACGGGGAGGUUUGGCACCUCGAUGUCGGCUCGUCGCAUCCUGGGGCGGUAGUACGUCCCAAGGGUUGGGCUGUUCGCCCAUGAAAGCGGCACGCGAGCUGGGUUCAGAACGUCGUGAGACAGUUCGGUCCAUAUCCGGUGUAGGCGUUAGAGUAUUGCGAGGAUCUCUUCUUAGUACGAGAGGACCGGAAGAGACGUACCUCUGGUGUGCCAGUUAUCGUGCCAACGGUAGACGCUGGGUAGCCAUGUACGGUUAGGAUAACCGCUGAAAGCAUCUAAGUGGGAAGCCAGCCUCAAGAUGAGUACUCUUACCAUAAAAAAUGGUUAAGGUCACGGCAAGACUAGCCGUUUGAUAGGUACCAAGUGUACGUACAGUAAUGUAUUUAGCUGAGGUAUCCUAAUAGACCGAAUGCUUGACUUA